rnacentral:lncRNA from 1 species
UCCAAGAAAUGUUUCAUCGAACAAUCCAGCAUCUACAUUCGACCUGAAUAGGAAGUAAGAACAAUAAGCACAGGCUUCAAACCACUGUAAUACACUAGACUUGCAACCCAUGAUUCGUUCCACAAGAUCAAACCAAAUCCUGAAAAAGGAAAUGCAGAAACAUUAGUCCUAUCUCCUAGUCAAACUAAUCAUCUGCAUAAAGAAAAUGCUGAAAACUUAUUUGCCAUUUAACAUACAUUGCUAUGAUCACCUAAAAACUCCGUAGGAUUUAUCUGACGAAAGUUUCAAUUAAUCCGAUCUAAAGUGAUACUGAUCGUAGAGACAGAUAGCUAGGGGCAGUUUUCAGCAGAAACAAUAAUUUAUAUAUGAACUCUACAGAUUAUAUGAGCUAAAAAAGUAGCGAUCAAUUGCAAUUUUCUCCUUUAUUUCCUCUAAAAUCCUAGGGGAAAAAAAACUCGAAAAGUAUCUUCAACAUUCAAGUUCUCAGUUAACAAACACGAUCAUCUUCAGUUAUCAAGUCCUCCAUCAAUCAUCAUCAUCAAACAAAUUAACAAUUUUAAGUGAUUAAUUACAAAUAAGGAAAGGGGGAAAAAAUGAGAAAAUUAUUUUCAGAAAAUACCCAUUAAAACAAAAGGGAGGCAACAGAAAUCAUCUCUAUGAAAACCAGAAGAAAAAGGAGAGGUUCUAUAUGUAGUAUCGAAAGUUAUAUAUAUAUUAUCAGGAAAAAAUUUGUAGAGGCGAAUAGAUAAGAGAAAUGAAAUUUCCCUUAU